UACAGAGGGUGCGAGCGUUAAUCGGAAUUACUGGGCGUAAAGCGUGCGCAGGCGGUAAGUUAAGUCUGAUGUGAAAGCCCCGGGCUCAACCUGGGAACGGCAUUGGAAACUGGCUUGCUGGAGUGUGGCAGAGGGGGGUGGAAUUCCGCGUGUAGCAGUGAAAUGCGUAGAGAUGCGGAGGAACACCGAUGGCGAAGGCAGCCCCCUGGGCCAACACUGACGCUCAGGCACGAAAGCGUGGGGAGCAAACAGG
rnacentral:rRNA from 1 species